rnacentral:tRNA from 1 species
GCCCAGGUGGUGAAAUCGGUAGACACAAGGGAUUUAAAAUCCCUCGGCCUUUAGGCUGUGCUGGUUCAAGUCCCGCCCUGGGCACCA